rnacentral:lncRNA from 1 species
GGUAAACGAAAAAAUUAUUUCAACAGUCUUUUUAGAGAGAGAAAAUGCAGGGUGCUCUCUUUCUCACAAAUUUCAUAUUCUUCUUCUGAAAGGUGAAGAACACCAAAACAGUAACGACAAAAACAACUCUCACGCAUUGUCCGCAACGAAGCCGUUAAGAAAUUUGUUCUUACCUGACCAGCUUUAAUUGCACCGAUUUCUCAUCUCUCUCUUUCCCAAAACAAAAUAUAGAGACAACCCAGAAAGCUCUUGACUAAUUUAAGCACAGCUAGAUCAAAGAAGCAGUUGAGGAAAUUUUCUUGGGAAUUGAAAUGGGUUUUUGAUGAAUUGUAAAACCUAGUAAGGAAUUGGAGGAUUUUGGCUUGGUUUGUGAGUUCUUCAGCAGCUAUUGGCUGAGUUGUGAGUUCUUUGCUGUUCUUUAUUUCAUCUGUUUAUGCUUGAUGUUUGUGUCUUAAUCUUGAGCUAAAUUGGUGAGAUUUUGAAUACCCAUUCGAACUUGUUUGGUGGAGAUUUUGUUUAUGAUAAAUCCUUCAAUUUGGAUUGUAUUAGUUGUUGAAUCAAAAGCUUCUUUGUUUAACUUGUUCUUCAUUUCUCUGUCUUUUGCAAUUUACUUGGACUCUGAAUUGCUUUUAUUCCUCCCUUUACAAGCAAUAAUCACACUGCGUAUUAUCAUUUGAGAUUUGAUGCAAAAAUUG